AGAGAAUAGAUACCCCGGUAGUCCACGCUGUAAACGAUGAGUGCUGGACGUUGGCGGGUUUACCUGCCGGUGUCGCAGCUAAACGCGUUAAGCACUCCGCCUGGGGAGUACGGCCGCAAGGUUAAAACUCAAAGGAAUUGACGGGGGCCCGCACAAGCGGUGGAGCAUGUGGUUUAAUUCGACGCAACGCGCAGAACCUUACCAGCCCUUGACAUGGGCGGACGGGGUCCAGAGAUGGACUCUUUCUCGCAAGAGACCGCUACACAGGUGCUGCAUGGCUGUCGUCAGCUCGUGUCGUGAGA
rnacentral:rRNA from 1 species